rnacentral:rRNA from 1 species
AGCGAACGCUGGCGGCAGGCCUAACACAUGCAAGUCGAGCGCGUGUAGCAAUACACGAGCGGCAGACGGGAGAGUAACACGUGGGAACGUACCCUUCGGUUCGGAAUAACCCAGGGAAACUUGGACUAAUACCGGAUACAUCCGAAAGGAGAAAGAUUUAUCGCCGAAGGAUCGGCCCGCGGCUGAUUAGCUAGUUGGUGAGGUAACGGCUCACCAAGGCGACGAUCGGUAGCUGGUCUGAGAGGAUGAUCAGCCUCACUGGGACUGAGACACGGCCCAGACUCCUACGGAGGCAGCAGUGGGGAAUAUUGGACAAUGGGCGCAAGCCUGAUCCAGCCAUGCCGCGUGGGUGAUGAAGGCCCUAGGGUUGUAAAGCCCUUUCGGCGGGGAAGAUAAUGACGGUACCCGCAGAAGAAGCCCCGGCUAACUUCGUGCCAGCCGCCGCGGUAAUAC